AAGGGAGACCUUUUGGAUGAUAUAACUUCAGCAAAUGGGAAAAUUUGUUAUUACAGGUAGUUGGUAAAACAAAACAGCUUUACAACAAAUAUCUAAAACAAAUAACUAUUUAGAACAAGUUUUCUAAUCAUUUCAGAGAACCCAAGGUGAGGAAUGCUGUCUUUCUCCCGAAAGAGUGGUGAUGGAAUCAACAGAAUGAGACACACAUUUUCACAUGUGGCCAAUAUAUCUUCUUCCUAAUGUCUCAAUGGACAUAGUAAAGUUUUGUCAUGUGGCAACAGUGGUAUAUGCAGAGCAUUUGUUUGCAUGUAGACUGCUGUGGCCACAAGCCAUGAUGGGGAACGAUACAAGGUGGAAAACAGAGUCACCAGGAACUGUGGAGAAUUUCAACAUGGUAGAAAAAAUAUGGGUCAACCAAGUGAAAAUGACAUGUGACAAACAACUCUGCUCCUUGCCUGGUUGCCCAGCUACUUCCUUCCUUCUUUUGACUGGAAUCCAAGACAUGUACUGGAAAAAGACAAUCUCCUGGGCUCUUCAUGGAGGAAGGGAUCUGAUUAUCCUCUAAACUGGACAGUUCACCCCUUUUGACUUUGAGGCACAGGACAAAACCACACGACCCAUCUCGGGUUCCAGAGACCCAGGAACAUGCCAUCAUCAUCCUUUCUCUAGUCACCUAGGACCUGUUGAUAUAGGGUAUAUAAAGCCCAGAACUCAUCUCCUCUUAGAGGCUCUUCCCACACACUGUCUCCCCAGCUGUUCAAUCUGAAUUCCAAAU
rnacentral:lncRNA from 1 species